AUUGAACGCUGGCGGCAGGCCUAACACAUGCAAGUCGAGCGGAGCGGCGGACGGGUGAGUAAUACCUAGGCAUCUGCCUGGUAGUGGGGGAUAACGUCCGGAAACGGGCGCUAAUACCGCAUACUAUCAGAUUAGCCUAGGUCGGAUUAGCUAGUUGGGGGGGUAAAGGCCUACCAAGGCGACGAUUCUUAACUGGUCUGAGAGGCUGAUCAGUCACACUGGAACGGAGACACGGUCCAGACUCCGACGGGGGGAAGCAGUGGGGAAUAUUGGACAAUGGGCGAAGGCCUGAUCCAGCCAUGCCGCGUGUGUGAAGAAGGUCUUCGGAUUGUAAAGUACUUUCAGCGGGGAGGCGUUACCCGCAGAAGAAGCACCGGCUAACUCCGUGCCAGCAGCCGCGGUAAUUC
rnacentral:rRNA from 1 species